rfam:Gossypium arboreum cultivar AKA8401 contig_13433_7, whole genome shotgun sequence.
UGUUAAAAAUUUCAUUCAUUUCUAUUAUUAAAAAGGGGCAUAGCUGACAGAAUAACCGAACAAUGACAUUUGAUGUGCCAUUUGUACUCAUGCUGACAUAUAAUGACCAAUUUUUAAUAGUAGAAAUGGAUAAAAAUUUUAACA